rnacentral:lncRNA from 11 species
ACUGGGUUCCAUGCCCUUGACGAAGCAGAACACCUCUGGCAGCUGUGUGACAUAGGCAUUUUGGAGGUAACAAAUCCCGCACUUUUGAGUGGAGAAGCAGCGGGCAUGACUGAGACCUGGAG